UGAUUUUCGUCAUAGUAGUCAUAGCGUAGUAAGGAUUCACUAUGGAGGUCCCUUACAAGUUAGAAGUGAUUGCUUUGACUACAAUCAUCAUUAAACUGGGUGUCUCAGUUUUCCCAUAUUCUGGCAAAAAUCAACCUCCAAAAUUUGGAGAUUAUGAAGCUCAAAGACAUUGGAUGGAAAUUACGGUUAACUUACCCAUACAGGAUUGGUAUAGAAAUACAACAGACAAUGAUUUAUUGUACUGGGGACUGGAUUACCCUCCUCUCACAGCAUAUCAAAGCUACCUAACUGGAUCGGUGGCUAAGAAAAUCAACCAAGACUAUGUAAAACUCCAUGUGUCUCAGGGAUUUGAAAACUUUGACCACCAAUAUUUCAUGAGGAUGUCCGUCCUUGUGUCUGAUUGUAUUUUCUUUGUCAGUGCACUUUAUUUUUACAUUAGAAGCUUGAAGAUGAGUAAUAAGUACAAAUGGGUUUUCUUUGCUUUGUCCUCACACUCUGGACUCACCCUUAUAGAUUAUGGUCAUUUUCAGUACAAUUGUGUUUCGUUGGGGUUGACCUUGUGGGCAAUCAUUUUUGUUUCUCAGGGAAAGAAUGUGUUAGCAGCAAUUGCCUUUUCAGCUGCCUUAAACUUUAAGCAGAUGGAGUUGUAUCAUGCAAUACUUCUAUUUGCUGGCUUCUAUUUGCUGGCUUCCUGUCAACCUAAAGGUUCCUCACUUCCCUCCCAACUAAAGAAUUUGGUCCAGAUUGGCGCUGCCACAGUGGCGACCUUUGCAAUCAUUUGGUAUCCAUUUCUUCAAAUUCAUGAUUGGCUUUUACAGCAAGUCAUCGUCAGACUCUUUAUUCCUUUUCAGCGUGGAAUCUUUGAAGACUAUGUCGCCAAUUUUUGGUGCACGCUAAAUGUUGUGAUCAAAAUCAAACGACUAUUAAACCCAACCUCAAUCGCCUCGGGAACUAUCACCUAGGCCAUGCCCGUGCCUGAAAGAAAAGUCAGGACGUUGAUUCGAACGGAUUCGAAUGCAACGAGCACUAAGUACGGUCACAUUAUUGGAGGAAUGACCGUGUGCUUGGUUCGUGAUUUGGAGUCACAAGUGAUAGCUGCAAGCUGAUAUCACUCGAACCACUGCACCAACCCGACUAAGCAUGAUCGAAAAAAGCUGCAGCUCAUUAUGGCGUCAGUUUAGCUUUAAUGCUAAAUUUCGCAAACACGGUGAACUAGAUUGACAAUAAUAAAAAAUGAACUUUAUUCGU
rnacentral:misc_RNA from 1 species